UGGGGAAUAUUGGACAAUGGGCGAAAGCCUGAUCCAGCCAUGCCGCGUGUGUGAAGAAGGUCUUCGGAUUGUAAAGCACUUUAAGUUGGGAGGAAGGGCAUUAACCUAAUACGUUAGUGUUUUGACGUUACCGACAGAAUAAGCACCGGCUAACUCUGUGCCAGCAGCCGCGGUAAUACAGAGGGUGCAAGCGUUAAUCGGAAUUACUGGGCGUAAAGCGCGCGUAGGUGGUUUGUUAAGGUGGAUGUGAAAUCCCCGGGCGCAACCUGGGAACUGCAUUCAAAACUGACUGACUAGAGUAUGGUAGAGGGUGGUGGAAUUUCCUGUGUAGCGGUGAAAUGCGUAGAUAUAGGAAGGAACACCAGUGGCGAAGGCGACCACCUGGACUAAUACUGACACUGAGGUGCGAAAGCGUGGGGAGCAAACA
rnacentral:rRNA from 1 species